rnacentral:rRNA from 1 species
CGUUAGCGGCGGACGGGUGAGUAACACGUGGAUAACCUACCUAUAAGACUGGGAUAACUUCGGGAAACCGGAGCUAAUACCGGAUAAUAUAUUGAACCGCAUGGUUCAAUAGUGAAAGACGGUUUUGCUGUCACUUAUAGAUGGAUCCGCGCCGCAUUAGCUAGUUGGUAAGGUAACGGCUUACCAAGGCAACGAUGCGUAGCCGACCUGAGAGGGUUACCGGCCACACUGGAACUGAGACACGGUCCAG